GAUGAACGCUGGCGGCGUGCUUAACACAUGCAAGUCGAACGGUGAAGCCAAGCUUGCUUGGUGGAUCAGUGGCGAACGGGUGAGUAACACGUGAGCAACCUGCCCUGGACUCUGGGAUAAGCGCUGGAAACGGCGUCUAAUACUGGAUAUGAGACGUGAUCGCAUGGUCAACGUUUGGAAAGAUUUUUCGGUCUGGGAUGGGCUCGCGGCCUAUCAGCUUGUUGGUGAGGUAAUGGCUCACCAAGGCGUCGACGGGUAGCCGGCCUGAGAGGGUGACCGGCCACACUGGGACUGAGACACGGCCCAGACUCCUACGGGAGGCAGCAGUGGGGAAUAUUGCACAAUGGGCGGAAGCCUGAUGCAGCAACGCCGCGUGAGGGAUGACGGCCUUCGGGUUGUAAACCUCUUUUAGCUGGGAAGAAGCGAAAGUGACGGUACCUGCAGAAAAAGCGCCGGCUAACUACGUGCCAGCAGCCGCCGUAA
rnacentral:rRNA from 1 species